UACGGGGGGAGCAAGCGUUGUUCGGAUUUACUGGGCGUAAAGGGCUCGUAGGCGGCCAACUAAGUCAGACGUGAAAUCCCUCGGCUUAACUGGGGAACUGCGUCCGAUACUGGAUGGCUUGGAUUUGGGAGAGGGAUGCGGAAUUCCAGGUGUAGCGGUGAAAUGCGUAGAUAUCUGGAGGAACACCGGUGGCGAAGGCGGCAUCCUGGACCAAUAUUGACGCUGAGGAGCGAAAGCCAGGGGAGCAAACGGG
rnacentral:rRNA from 1 species